rnacentral:tRNA from 1 species
GGAAGGAUGCCGGAGUGGUCGAUCGGGGCGGUCUCGAAAACCGUUGUGCCUUCGGGUACCCAGGGUUCGAAUCCCUGUCUUUCCGCCA